UUAAUAUCAAAUUAAAGUUCAAAAAUCAAAACAAUAUCAAAAUUAAUAUCAAGGAUUAACGAAAACAAGCAUGGGACUAAUAUCAACUACUAAGCCCACACAUGGGGGGUGCACUCGGCCAUGUGAGUGUGUAUGAAGCCAGAAAUGCACCUUGGGUUCACCUAAGGCCCACGCGGGGUGUGUAUCAGGCUAAUAGGGGGUGUGUGAGGCAAUAACAAGCAUUGGUUGGGCCUUAAUUGGGAUUAGGCCCAAACCGGAUGGAUAACAUAUGAGGGAACAUAAGGUUCCCCUCAUCUCCUUCGCUUUGCUUACAACCGUGGCUCACCAGAAGAGUACACCAAUACCAGAUCCCGACCGCGCCAGCGAUGCAAAGCGGCGGCCCUUACGCCGUCCUCCGUUUCCAACCUCUCUUCACCGAAACGAGACGACCUUCCACUUACCAAGUAGAAGCGCCUAACCCGAUUCUUCGACGCAACAAACUGAUCAAGAACAAAAAAAAUAGAAGUGGAUUCGUGUUGCUCUCACACGAAUCGAAUCAAAUACUCAAACAAAAGCGGAAUGAACUCGAUGACGACUCACACCAUAGCACCAGAAUCAAUUAUCGUGACGGGAAGAAAUAACCUACCGGUAAUGGUGAAGGGGGAGGAUUUGUCGGCGACGUCGGAUUCAAACUUAGUGAAUGAAGCCAACGAUGCUUUGCUUGGAGAAUUUGCAAAAAUGAUGAUGAAGAUGGACGGGCAGGACCUCGUUAGGCCAAUGGCGGUGGUUCAACUGUGAUUGGAAAUUCUGUUAUGUAGGUGAAGAAGGGUUCGUUAACAGAAAAGAGGGGGUAGAGGCAGAAGAAUUUCGGAAAGAAAUUCGAGAGUUUUUUCACUGUUAUUCAUUGUACUUAUAGCUCUGAAGUUUGAUUUUGAUUCCCUUCAACUUCGUUUUUUGCUUUGGCUUAUGCGUUCAAUUCAGUUUUUCGUUUUCA